UUUUAGAGUUUUGAUCCUGGCUCAGGAUGAACGCUGGCGGCGUGCCUAAUACAUGCAAGUCGAGCGAAUGGAUUAAGAGCUUGCUCUUAUGAAGUUAGCGGCGGACGGGUGAGUAACACGUGGGUAACCUGCCCAUAAGACUGGGAUAACUCCGGGAAACCGGGGCUAAUACCGGAUAACAUUUUGAACCGCAUGGUUCGAAAUUGAAAGGCGGCUUCGGCUGUCACUUAUGGAUGGACCCGCGUCGCAUUAGCUAGUUGGUGAGGUAACGGCUCACCAAGGCAACGAUGCGUAGCCGACCUGAGAGGGUGAUCGGCCACACUGGGACUGAGACACGGCCCAGACUCCUACGGGAGGCAGCAGUAGGGAAUCUUCCGCAAUGGACGAAAGUCUGACGGAGCAACGCCGCGUGAGUGAUGAAGGCUUUCGGGUCGUAAAACUCUGUUGUUAGGGAAGAACAAGUGCUAGUUGAAUAAGCUGGCACCUUGACGGUACCUAACCAGAAAGCCACGGCUAACUACGUGCCAGCAGCCGCGGUAAUACGUAGGUGGCAAGCGUUAUCCGGAAUUAUUGGGCGUAAAGCGCGCGCAGGUGGUUUCUUAAGUCUGAUGUGAAAGCCCACGGCUCAACCGUGGAGGGUCAUUGGAAACUGGGAGACUUGAGGUGCAGAAGAGAAAAGGA
rnacentral:rRNA from 1 species